CAUAGUGUUGCGCGAAUAAUUGUAUCCCCUGUUUUAACCACUUAAACAUUGUUUGCUUUAAAGACCAUAGAAAAGAGUAAGAGAGGUGUUGUACGGAAGCAGAGCUCUGGAGCGUGAGGACAGACACUGACUGUAAUGAUGGACACGUGCUGAAGGACGGGAGGAAGACAAGCAUCAAGCGAUUUCCAGUGGAUGCCAUGACCUCCUCCAGGACAGCUGAAAGCAGCACAUCAUGCACAAGCUGUGGAAUCGUCUGAAUCCUUUCUGUCGCAGAGCAGUGGGACUUUCUACUGCAGUUCUCUUUGAGACCACAGGAGGAUGCUGCGACCUCCGCGUCCCAGUGAUGGGACAGUGGCACAUUAACUCUAGACUGAGAAAUCAAUCUCAAUCUGCUGAGGUUGUGUACGCAUGCUCUUUUUUUUUUUGGAUGAGGGAUUAUUUGAACGCGUAAAUCUUUUGAAUUUGCUUACCAGCAGUCUAAAUUCUGUUGUACUACAGGCAUGAGUAAGUGUCCAACGUGCAAAGUUUCAAAUAACUGCCCUGCUCAAAGCACAAAUAAAUG